CAACAUUUGAUAAUAACUGAGCUAUCUUUAGCUUAGCUUUAUGUCCAAGACUCGUGAUGUGUUGUGAUAGCUGGGUGUAAGAACUGCUCUAUCAACAGAAGUCAUGAGCCCUUUAUGCCCAGUAUGUAAAGACACACUCUGAGUUAUAACUCAAAGUCACAACA
rnacentral:snoRNA from 15 species